UACAGAGGUCUCAAGCGUUGUUCGGAUUCAUUGGGCGUAAAGGGUGCGUAGGUGGCGAGGCAAGUCAGAUGUGAAAUCCCGGGGCUCAACCCCGGAACUGCAUUUGAAACUGCCUUGCUCGAGUACUGGAGAGGAGACUGGAAUUUACGGUGUAGCAGUGAAAUGCGUAGAUAUCGUAAGGAAGACCAGUGGCGAAGGCGGCAUCCUGGACCGGCAUUGACGCUGAGGCGCGAAAGCCAGGGGAGCAAACGGG
rnacentral:rRNA from 1 species